rnacentral:rRNA from 1 species
GACGUAGGUGGCGAACGUUAUCCGGAAUUAUUGGGCGUAAAGGGUGCGUAGAUGGCCUGACAAGUUAGCGGUGGGAAAUCGAGGCUCAACCUCGUGGAAGCUGGUAAUACUGUCAAGCUUGAGUACAGGAGAGGUUAACGGAAUUCCUGGUGUAGCGGUGAAAUGCGCAGAUAUCAGGAGGAACACCGAUGGCGAAGGCAAUCCCCUGGCCUGCACUGACGCUCAUGCACGAAAGCGUGGGGAGCGAACAGGA